rnacentral:RNase_P_RNA from 1 species
GGAGUCGGCCAGACAGUCGCGUCAUCGGGUAACCGGUGCCGAGGAAAGUCCGGGCUCCAUAGGGUACGGUGCUAGGUAACGCCUAGGCGGCGCAAGCCGACGGAAAGUGCAACAGAAAGAUACCGCCGAUGUCAGAGCAAUCUGGCAGGCAAGGGUGAAAUGGUGCGGUAAGAGCGCACCGCGAGUCUGGCAACAGACCGGCACGGCAAACCCCACCGGGAGCAAGACCAAAUAGGGAGGCGGUGAUGCGACCCGCAGAGCCUCCGGGUAGGUUGCUUGAGCGUAUGGGUGACCAUGCGCCUAGAGGAAUGACUGUCCUAGACAGAACCCGGCUUAUCGGCCGGCUCCGCCG